rnacentral:rRNA from 1 species
ACUCAAAUGAAUAGACGGGGGCCCGCACAAGCGGUGGAUCAUGUGGUUUAAUUCGAAGCAACGCGAAGAACCUUACCUGGAUUUGACAUCCUCGGACCGAUACAGAAAUGUAUUUUUCGUAGCAAUACGACCGGGAGACAGGUGCUGCAUGGCUGUCGUCAGCUCGUGUGGUGACAUGUUGGGUUAAGUCCCGCAACGAGCGCAACCCCUGUCCUUAGUUGCCAGCAUUAAGUUGGGCUCUCUAGGGAGACUGCCGUGGUUAACACGGAGGAAGGUGGGGAUGACGUCAAGUCCUCAUGGCCUUUAUAUCCAGGGCGACACACGUGAUACAAUGGAUGCUACAGAGGGAAGCGAAGUGGUGACACGGAGCCAAUCUCAAAAAGGCAUUCUCAGUUCGGAUUAGAGUCUGCAACUCGACUCUAUGAAGUUGGAAUCGCUAGUAAUCGCGGAUCAGCACGCCGCGGUGAAUACGUUCCCGGGCCUUGUACACACCGCCCGU